UAGCUACUCCCUCCGUCCGAAAAUACUUGUCAUCAAAAUGGAUAUCCAUUUUGAUGACAAGUAUUUUCGGACGGAGGGAGUAUAAG
rnacentral:pre_miRNA from 1 species